CAGUAAUAUAUGCUUGGAUGAAGGAUUAAGCCAUGCAAAUGUAAGAAUAAGUCGGUUACGACAAAUCUGUGGAAGGCUAAGUAAAAAAGGGAGAAAGAAAGAGGGGGAGAAAAUUUGUGGAUAAUGAAAGGAAAUCUUUCAAUAAUACAAAAAGUGUAGCAAUGUAUAAAUGAAUAGACUUGCUACUGAUAAGCUGGGUAACCAGCGACCCCUCAUCUGACUCUUAUGUAUCAAUUAGACUUUAGGGUAAGGGCCUAAAGUGAUGAUAACGCAUACAGAGAAUUAGGGUUCGAUUCUGGAGAGGGAGCAUGAGAGAUGGCUACCACUUCUAAGGAAGGCAGCAGGCGCGCAAAUUGCCCAAUGUGGAAAUCACGAGGCAGCGAACAUCAAUAACAAUGAGAGACUGAAUAACAGUUUUUCAAUUGGAAUGAGAUAUGAGAAGAGAAAAAAGCGAGAAACAAGUGGAGGGCAAGUCUGGUGCCAGCAGCCGCGGUAAUACCAGCUCCACAAGCGUAUAUUAAAGCUGCUGCAGUUAAAACGCUCGUAGUUGUGGUUUCGUUAGCAGGAUGGUCUGUGUCUCAAAAAGAUGCGGGCAAUCCGGCUAAUUACAAUCUAGUGUGUGUGUUAACUCACACAUACUAAGUAAACCUUGAAGAAAUAUUGACGCUUAAAAUUUGACUUAAGUCAAAGUUCUUUUUGCAUGGGAUUUUAGAAUAUGGGUGGUGGAGUAAGAUCUGCUGCUAAUGACAUUUGAGGAUGAAAGAGGAAGUUAAUAUUUGUGAGUCAGAGGUGAAAUUCUUGGAUUUCACAAAGAUUAACUAAUGCGAAGGCAUUCUUCAAUUGCUUUCCUGUCAAUCAAGAACGAAAGUAAGGGGAUCGAAGACGAUCAGAUACCGUCGUAGUCUUUACAGUAAAUUUGCCGACAAAGGAAACGGGAAAGACCUAGAAUGCGCCGGGUAACUGGUGCAUUUAAUAUCCUCCUGUUUUCUCCCACGAAAGUUUAAGUCUUUGGGUUCUGGGGGGAGUAUGUUCGCAAGGCCGAAACUUAAAGGAAUUGACGGAAAGGCACCACCAGGCGUGGAGCCUGCGGCUUAAUUUGACUCAACACGGGAAAACUUACCAGGUCCAAACAGCGUGAGGAUUGACAGAUUGAGAGCUCUUUCAUGAUUCGUUGGGUGGUGGUGCAUGGCCGUUCUUAGUUGGUGGUGCGAGCUGUCUGGUUGAUUCCGUUAACGAACGAGACCUUUGUGAGAUAAUAGUUGAGUCAAGAUAUUGCGUCAAGGCUGGGGUUCACGUAUUGGGGAAGGAUCCGUUCCUCCCUUUACUCUGGAUCUCAGUUGCAAUCUAGAUUACAACUUCUUUCUCAGACAAAUGAAAAAAAUUCAUUGGAAGUUGGAGGCAAAAACAGGUCUGUGAUGCCCUUCGAUGUUCUGGGCUGCACGCGCGCUACAAUGACAAAGUCAACAAGUUUUUUCCUUGCUUGAAAGGGCUGGGUAAUCUCUAAAACUUUGUCGUAAUAAGGAUCGCUGAUUGAAACUAUUCGGCGUGAAUCAGGAAUGCCUUGUAAUUAUAAGUCAUCAGCUUAUAGUGAAUACGUCCCUGCCUUUUGUACACACCGCCCGUCGCUCCUACCAAUUGGUAUAAACGGUGAAAAGUUCGGAGACAACUUUCGUUCAGAGUCAAAUCUGAUGUUAGAUAUAAAGUUCUUUAAAUCUUUUGUACUAGAGGAAGGAG
rnacentral:rRNA from 1 species